rnacentral:rRNA from 1 species
GUAAGCCUGCGAAGGUGGCCUGUGAGGGUUGCUGGAGGUAUCAGAAGUGCGAAUGCUGACAUAAGUAACGAUAAAGCGGGUGAAAAGCCCGCUCGCCGGAAGACCAAGGGUUCCUGUCCAACGUUAAUCGGGGCAGGGUGAGUCGACCCCUAAGGCGAGGCCGAAAGGCGUAGUCGAUGGGAAACGGGUUAAUAUUCCCGUACUUGGUGUUACUGCGAAGGGGGGACGGAGAAGGCUAUGUUGGCCGGGCGACGGUUGUCCCGGUUUAAGCGUGUAGGUGUGUGUUCCAGGUAAAUCCGGUUCACUUUAACACUGAGGCGUGAUGACGAGGCACUACGGUGCUGAAGCAACAAAUGCCCUGCUUCCAGGAAAAGCCUCUAAGCAUCAGGUAACAUCAAAUCGUACCCCAAACCGACACAGGUGGUCAGGUAGAGAAUACCAAGGCGCUUGAGAGAACUCGGGUGAAGGAACUAGGCAAAAUGGUGCCGUAACUUCGGGAGAAGGCACGCUGACACGUAGGUGAAGUGAUUUACUCAUGGAGCUGAAGUCAGUCGAAGAUACCAGCUGGCUGCAACUGUUUAUUAAAAACACAGCACUGUGCAAACACGAAAGUGGACGUAUACGGUGUGACGCCUGCCCGGUGCCGGAAGGUUAAUUGAUGGGGUCAGCGCAAGCGAAGCUCCUGAUCGAAGCCCCGGUAAACGGCGGCCGUAACUAUAACGGUCCUAAGGUAGCGAAAUUCCUUGUCGGGUAAGUUCCGACCUGCACGAAUGGCGUAAUGAUGGCCAGGCUGUCUCCACCCGAGACUCAGUGAAAUUGAACUCGCUGUGAAGAUGCAGUGUACCCGCGGCAAGACGGAAAGACCCCGUGAACCUUUACUAUAGCUUGACACUGAACAUUGAGCCUUGAUGUGUAGGAUAGGUGGGAGGCUUUGAAGUGUGGACGCCAGUCUGCAUGGAGCCGGCCUUGAAAUACCACCCUUUAAUGUUUGAUGUUCUAACGUGGACCCGUGAUCCGGGUUGCGGACAGUGUCUGGUGGGUAGUUUGACUGGGGCGGUCUCCUCCUAAAGAGUAACGGAGGAGCACGAAGGUUGGCUAAUCCUGGUCGGACAUCAGGAGGUUAGUGCAAUGGCAUAAGCCAGCUUGACUGCGAGCGUGACGGCGCGAGCAGGUGCGAAAGCAGGUCAUAGUGAUCCGGUGGUUCUGAAUGGAAGGGCCAUCGCUCAACGGAUAAAAGGUACUCCGGGGAUAACAGGCUGAUACCGCCCAAGAGUUCAUAUCGACGGCGGUGUUUGGCACCUCGAUGUCGGCUCAUCACAUCCUGGGGCUGAAGUAGGUCCCAAGGGUAUGGCUGUUCGCCAUUUAAAGUGGUACGCGAGCUGGGUUUAGAACGUCGUGAGACAGUUCGGUCCCUAUCUGCCGUGGGCGCUGGAGAACUGAGGGGGGCUGCUCCUAGUACGAGAGGACCGGAGUGGACGCAUCACUGGUGUUCGGGUUGUCAUGCCAAUGGCACUGCCCGGUAGCUAAAUGCGGAAGAGAUAAGUGCUGAAAGCAUCUAAGCACGAAACUUGCCCCGAGAUGAGUUCUCCCUGAGACUUUAGGUCUCCUGAAGGAACGUUGAAGACGACGACGUUGAUAGGCCGGGUGUGUAAGCGCAGCGAUGCGUUGAGCUAACCGGUACUAAUGAACCGUGAGGCUUAACCUUACA